CCAGUCAACAUACUGUGAAAAACUGAUACUAUCACUCCAACAACCCAUGAGAACUUGAAUUCUAUCAGCCAAUACUGAAGGAGCUUGGAAAUGAAACCUACCUAGGCUGAAUCUUUUGAAAGUCCUGAGCCAAAUGAAACAACUAAGCCACACCUAGAAUCUGGACACCAAGACAUUGAGAGUAACUUUCUCAUGGAGGAGUGAGCUAAAAAAAAAUUUCCCCAAAUGGACAGAAAUAGAGGUACUAUGUCAUGCCUUGGUAGUACCUUCAAAACACUCCACUACUGUGAGAAGCGAGCUCUGUGGCUAGCGCAAACUCUGGCGCAGGCUUUGGAAAUUGGAAGAAAAGGCAAGUGGCAGCCGUUGUCUCAUGAGUGUUCUGUGGAGUUUUCCAGCAGCUAUAUCCCAUGCAGUGUUGCAACGGAUUAUAUGCAGAAACAUAUAUGAAAGACUAUGUUCUUUUAAGGUAGAUAUUUUUAAAGUUUUGACAACUAUAAAAUGUUACCCUUUUUAUCAUUUUUGUUUUAAAAAAAUAUA